ACUCCUACGGGAGGCAGCAGUAGGGAAUCUUCCGCAAUGGACGAAAGUCUGACGGAGCAACGCCGCGUGAGCGAAGAAGGCCUUCGGGUCGUAAAGCUCUGUUGUUAGGGAAGAACAAGUAACGCAGUAACUGGCGUUACCUUGACGGUACCUAACGAGAAAGCCACGGCUAACUACGUGCCAGCAGCCGCGGUAAA
rnacentral:rRNA from 1 species